GACGAACGCUGGCGGCAUGCCUAAUACAUGCAAGUCGAGCGAACAGAUGAAGUGCUUGCACUUCUGACGUUAGCGGCGAACGGGUGAGUAACACGUAAGGAAUCUACCUAUAAGCGGGGGAUAACAUUCGGAAACGGGUGCUAAUACCGCAUAAUAUCUUCUUCCGCAUGGAAGAAGAUUGAAAGACGGCUCUGCUGUCACUUAUAGAUGACCUUGCGGUGCAUUAGUUAGUUGGUGGGGUAACGGCCUACCAAGACGAUGAUGCAUAGCCGACCUGAGAGGGUGAUCGGCCACAUUGGGACGGAGACACGGCCUAAACUCCUACGGGAGGCAGCAGUAGGGAAUCUUCCGCAAUGGGCAAAAGCCUGACGGAGCAAUGCCGCGUGAGUGAAGAAGGCCUUCGGGUCGUAAAACUCUGUUAUAAGAGAAGAACAAAUUGUAGAGUAACUGCUACAGUCUUGACGGUAUCUUAUCAGAAAGCCACGGCUAACUACGUGCCAGCAGCCGCGGUAA
rnacentral:rRNA from 1 species